ACCUCUCGGGGUUACAGCCUUUGCUGGAUUAUUCACCCUUUGUCUUUUUUGCGUACUUCUUGUUUCCUUUGGUGGGGUUCGCCCACCACUAGGACGAGACAUAAACCUUUUGGUAAUUGCAAUCAGCGUCAGUUAACAAAUUAAUAAUUACAACUUUCAACAACGGAUCUCUUGGUUCUGGCAUCGAUGAAGAACGCAGCGAAAUGCGAUAAGUAGUGUUGAAUGGCAGAAUUCAGUGGAAUCAUCGGAAUCUUUGUAACGCACAUUGCGCCCUUUGGGUAUUCCUAAAGGGCAUGCCUGUUCGAGCGUCAUUUGUACCCUCAAGCUUUGCUUGGUGUUGGGCGUCUUGUCUCUAGCUUUGCUGGAGACUCGCCUUAAAGUAAUUGGCAGCCGGCCUACUUGGUUUCGGAGCGCAGCACAAGUCGCACUCUCUAUCUAGCAAAGGU
rnacentral:rRNA from 1 species